AUGAACGCUGGCGGCGUGUUUAAGGCAUGCAAGUCGAAUGGGUUUAGACCCAUGGCAAACGGGAGAGUAAUACUUUGGUAACUUACCCCCUAGUCGUGAAUAACUUUUCGAAAGAUUAGAUAAUACACGAUGGUCUUAAGAGACUUAUGUUUCUUAAGUAAAGAUUUAUCGCUAAGGGAGAGGCCUAAGGCCUAUCAGCUAGUUGGUGAGAUAAUAGCCCACCAAGGCUUCGACGGGUAGCAGGUGUGAGAGCACGACCUGCCCCACUGGGACUGAGACACUGCCCAGACACCUACGGGUGGCUGCAGUUAAGAAUCUUCCACAAUGCACGAAAGUGUGAUGGAGCGACGCCGCGUGAUGGAUGAAGCCUCUAGGGGUGUAAACAUCUUUUAUAUGUCAAGAAAAUGACGGUAGCAUAUGAAUAAGCACCGGCUAACUCCGU
rnacentral:rRNA from 1 species